AGAGAGGCUCUGUGGCUGGCUGCCCCUCUGGACACCAACUUCCCCUUUGUCCUAGGAGCUGCACUACCUCUGGGUACAGGAUCUCCCGUGUCCACCACGGAGCCGAGGGGAGGAAAGAGGACAUGGACAUGUAGAGAAGGAGCCUUACCAAUGCUCUGAGCCUGAAGCCCAGGAGGUGAUGCAACUUCCUCAAGCAGAUGGGACAGAGGUCCAGGGGCCGACGGAGCACCUCAUCCAGGCUAAGCGCCCCCUGCAGGAGGCAGCGGAGCCAGCGACAGCUCCCCAGGCCCAGGAGGUGGCAGAGCUCAUGGCAGCACUGAACCAUGCCCAGGGCGCUGAAGCACAGGGUCCGUCCUCGCUCACGAGGCAGCGUCUCGGGGCCACCUGCUGCUGCUGCCUCCAGCAGAGCUGAGUCAGGAACACUGGACCCGGCCUGCAAGAACUCUCCAGAGAAGCGAGCGAAGCUACACACACCCACUUCUGGGGAGAAGCCAGAAGAAGUAGUCCAAAGGACAGCCAUGGCUCAGGAAUCUAGGGUGAAACCACCCCAGCACUUCCUGCAGCCCAGGACAGCCAGAAGAGGAAGUGGUCCCCUGGCCCUGCCAUAUGCAGUUGACUCUGGGGACCAGCCCCUUGCCCAGGGCCCGUGAGAACAUAGCCUCAAGCUUGUGCACACACCCCACCCCACCCCUACCCCCACCCCCACCCCACCCCUACCCCCACCCCCACCCC